AGGAAGCCAGCCUGCGAAGUGAAAGGAACUUAUUGGGGGCAUAUCCAAGGCUGCCUGGAUAAAACUGAUACAGCAUCUGAUACUGGAGUCCAGCUCUACUGAGUUCAGAUCUUGAGGAGGGGUACAGUUGAAGAAGGAAGAAUGGAGACACUCACAGGGAUGUGCUGAUCACACUGUCUUCUCUCAGAGAGGACAUAUUUUAUUUAUAUUUUCAGCACUGAAACAAAUAGGUACAGGAAAGCAUGUGUUGCAUGGGUUUUACAUAACCAAUUUCCAAGAACUUUCAAGAUCACAUUACAAUGUUCUUAAAACUUUCUACCCACAUUCUCCUAACAUGUCCUGCCAACCUGACACUAGUUCUACUUCUAUAAAAAUUAAACAAGG
ensembl:lncRNA